rnacentral:lncRNA from 1 species
AGAAGAGGUCAGGUGCAUGCAAUGCAGUGCACCCCUUCCCAGACCUCGUUUAAGGGUUGGCAGUAGAGGCUUUGCUGGAGGUCUCUACCUACUAGAGGCCUUCUGAAGAUAUAUGUAUGGUCAUUAAUUCUCUGUGAUCAUUGUAAUGUACUGGGGCUAGUGUUUCUUAUGAUCCCAAUAAGGUUGCCACCCAGACUCUGUAACAAAUAUGACCUCUUGGAGCUAAUGCUAGAAGGAAAAGGAGGAUAGAUUAGACAAAUACUUCAGAUAUGGGGAGCCCUCAGCUGUGCAUCAUCUGGUAGCAAGAAACCUCUGACGAUGGCAAGGCAUACCCUGAUCAACUCUCAAUUGGUACACUCGCAUUUUUGUCCUUCAAGUUCAGCCUGGAUUAUCUUAAUAGAAAACAAUUCUAUUCAGCACUUCUACCAACAAUCGUGUUCACAGGAUGAAGUGAUGGCUUUUCUUCAAGAUAAAGACCCACAGAUGGCAUAAUCACCAGUAUGCAGUGGAAGCUGCUUACAGUCCCCUCCAUCAGGGAUAACUGUCUGAGCUUAUCUUGAAGCACAGCACAAGUCUGAUGGUCAAGCUACACGUGUGCACAGCACAUCAAAGGUCUGCACCUAUUCAGGAUAGCUUAUAUGAAUCACUAACUCCUUUAUGUACAACAGUCUUUUAAUUAGGAUGACUGGUAUAUGGGAAGAAACAUUUCAAUCAAGACAGUAAAUUCUAGAAAAUUCUGAUUUAUCCACAGGAUUUCCAUUAAAAGAUUAAAAAAAAAAAAAAAAUCCCAUAGCUAAAUUUCAAUAACUACAGUAACAAUUACUUCAAUAAGUAUUCAUUUUUUAAACUCUUUCCUUACCCAUGUAGAUUAUAGUCCAUAUUACAAGUGUUUUAAUUUUUUUUAAGUGGAAGCAAUCACGGAGUCAGGUACUCUUUGAUUAGCUUAAAUCUAUAGUUACUGUAAAGUAGCUAAAGUGACAUCUGCAAUUAAGCUAAUAAUGUUCUGAAAAAACCAUAGACAAAGAACCCAUGUUUUCUUUAAUCAUCUCUGGACUGGUCAAAAAUUCUGAAAUACAAAUUCCAAAAUAUUCUUUGACUAGUGGUCAACUGUGAGUUGGCUUAGGUACAUUUUGUUUUAGAAAUACUGAUACUGUGGGGACAAAUACAAUUUCAGGGGAAAAUAAAAAAUCAUAUUCUACACAUUGUUGUGUGAACAUUCAUUAAAAUCCUUUUGUAACAUCAGUAUUUCCAGAAAUUAGAGUUAUGAUGAAUUUCAGUGCCAUUAAUUUGAAGCCUAUGUUCUGUGAUCACUAAAUGCAGUGAUAUAAGUGCUUUAGAUUGUUUGCAGAGCAAUUAAAUAACUGACAUUCAAAAGCUUUCUAGAAGACAAUGGAAAACACUGAGCACUUUCAUGUUCUUCUGGCAAUUCAGUAUAUGUCAGUGAUUCAGUAUGUAACUCUCUCCUUAAAAAAGAAAUCUAAAGCUGGACUUAUGAGGGGUACUAUUAUAUAUUUUCCCUAAUAAUUUUAAAAAUACAUAUUAUUUAAUAUAAAAAUAUAUUGUAUGAAGUGUUUACUUGGUAAAGUUAAUAUUUAGUAUCCACAUCUACCAUGUAAGUUUUGGUUCUCUGACAAAGAUUCUUUAAUAAAUGUGUAAGAAUGUUGUUCUUAUAAGACACUGUUUGUAUGAAUUGGAGAGGGAAACAUCUACAAAAGGAACAAAUAAAAAAAUGUGACUCCAUAGUCAGUUAUAGGUGAGAUUAGAUUCUGGGAUUUUUUUUGUCUACUUUUAAAAAUAUUUUUACAUUGAGACAACUGCUUGUACAUUUGUGUCACUAAACAACAUACUAUUUAUCUUUUCCUCACAUGUUCUGCUAACUCACGUUAGUAUGGGCAGCAGUAAAUGCUCUUCCAUGGGCAUAGUUGUGUCUAUAUAGAAGGGAUUGCCAACGUAAAAGUAUAGCAGCGUUUUUGUUAUUUCUUUUCCUGUUACUGCUGAAAUGCAGACUGAUAUAGCUAUCCCACCAGAACUUUGUAAUAUAAAGCAAGCCUCAGGCUCUUAGUCUGCAAGUGACCCAGUAUAACGUUAUUUUGUAGUCAUUUAACAUUUGGAAAAAAUUCUUCACAAUUCUGAGUUCUAGAAAUGUUGUAGUUGUUCUACAGGUAUGUCUGUGUUAUUACAAGCUCUAGGCAAGCCUAGGGCCUUUUAACUUUCUAAAUCCAACACUUUUAAUAUAUCAUAAGACUCUUCCAGUUGUAUAUGUGAUAAACGGUUUAGAUAAGUACUGAGAUGCUUCACUUUUACAGUUUACCAGUAUCAGUUUACCAGCCCCAGAGACAGAAUAUACUUUAAAAAUGCAUAUACUUUACAAAAUCUCUAGUGUACUUUCUUUUUCAUUUCUGUAUUUCUCUACUUUUUCACAGUAUAAGUUGUAAUUUGGAGUAUAAUUCCAAUUUGUGACAGCUUUGGAAUUUUUAUAAUUAUUUUUUAUUCAGCAAAGCUGAAAUAAAACUAAGUACUUAGGUGAAGCAUAGUCAU